GUAAGGGGCGGGACAUCCUCGAUGGCUCCGCAGAUUUCGUUGCCCAGCGCGUCGGCGUCUUUAGCUGCACACACGGGUACCGGCGAAGCAGAGGCAGGGAGCAGGGCGCUGUCUAUCGACAGCAACAACGCCUGUAAGACGACAACGAAACGCGUGGAAUGUAUUUUGUCUUGGCCCUCUGAGAUUUUACCCAACAUUUCGCUAUCACCGGGACCAGGGUUCGCCUCAUGACAUCUCCGCAAACAAGCAAAUCAACCGGCAAUGGAUAAAUACAUGUCAGCAAAGAUUUUGCACCCAGUGGACAGGGCAGCAGCAGCAAAUAACGAUUAUCACUUCUGUAACAAUAUCCAGAUCUCUGCACGACCGAUCGCUGGCGAGGGAGGACGAGAGGAGGAGGAGGAGAACGAGAGAGAGUCACGUAGGUAGAGGGGAUUCGGCGGAAGACGGCCUGGGGUGCGGAGGUGUACGCUCGUGGAGCCAAAGAACCCCAGCGUAAAGGUCUUCACCCAGCCGCAUCAAAGCUUCCCCGAUGGCCUGGUGUCUACCGGGCACGAAGUAAGCAGGGACCGCUCGAGGAAGGCUGCUGGGAUGCGGGGGCGCGUGCUUGACGGGCGCCUGGACCCGGGCUCGUAGAGGCCUCCACCCAGUCGCGUUGUGGUUUCCCGUCGACGACCCGUGCCAUCUCUCAGCUGCAAGGCUUGGCCGUUCUCGAGCGUCACUGUGCUGCCUACGCCGUCCGGACUUCUAACCAGGAUAAACAACCGACCGUGGUGAACUUUUUCUUUCCACGGUUUUGAUGAGAUGAACUGGGACUCUUCGGUUAACUCUGUACAUUUGCCAGGGCUACGUUAAGCCACAAGUUUAUGUAUUGAACUUGCGCGAUUUCCUGCAUGCCCUCUGGUCGCAAUUCCGUGCAAUGGUUCCCUUCUUGGCAGUACGUUGGGAUAUUGUAGGCUAAACGCCAUAGCGCUGUUUGCCACUGCUCUGGUUUCUGCUUUAUAAAGUGUGGUCUUUGUGUGUCUUAA